rnacentral:rRNA from 1 species
CCGCGUGAGCGAUGAAGGCCUUCGGGUCGUAAAGCUCUGUUGUCAGGGAAGAACAAGUACCGGAGUAACUGCCGGUACCUUGACGGUACCUGACCAGAAAGCCACGGCUAACUACGUGCCAGCAGCCGCGGUAAUACGUAGGUGGCAAGCGUUGUCCGGAAUUAUUGGGCGUAAAGCGCGCGCAGGCGGUUCCUUAAGUCUGAUGUGAAAGCCCCCGGCUCAACCGGGGAGGGUCAUUGGAAACUGGGGAACUUGAGUGCAGAAGAGGAGAGCGGAAUUCCACGUGUAGCGGUGAAAUGCGUAGAGAUGUGGAGGAACACCAGUGGCGAAGGCGGCUCUCUGGUCUGUAACUGACGCUGAGGCGCGAAAGCGUGGGGAGCGAACAGGAUUAGAUACCCUGGUAGUCCACGCCGUAAACGAUGAGUGCUAAGUGUUAGAGGGUUUCCGCCCUUUAGUGCUGCAGCAAACGCAUUAAGCACUCCGCCUGGGGAGUACGGCCGCAAGGCUG